ACUACAACAUUGGUAGUUGUACACUUAUGAUGGUGAUUCGCUCCGGCCAUUCCAGUUUUGGCGGUGGUGGUGCUGCUGCUCCUAUGAUGGUAGACUCGUCUGAUUCCCCUAGCCGCAUCCAAGGUGAUGAAGCUCGGCCUAGGCUAGCACCCCCUCCAAUUUGCUUAAGAUCACGGAAGCUUGGGUUGAUGGAGUGCUUGUAUUUAGUUUUUGUUUUGACGUUGUGAAACUUGCUACGUAUGGAUGAAACCGUGUAAUAUUGAUGAAACUAUGUAUAUGUACGGAUGAAACUUGCUACUAUUGGUAACAUGUGUUGGAUA